UCAUCCUUCACUUGUCCAAUCUCCUAUACCAGUUGCAGUUGGCACUUGCAAUGAAGAGAUUUUCCCUUCCCACCCUCUUUCUGGCCCUUCUCUUACUGCUCUCAGUGGCUUUUGCACGUGAACUAGUUCAAGAAAAUGAAAAGGGUCCGCGACCGGAGGUUGGUGGAAUGACCUCUGGAUCAUUAACUUACGCCGUCUGCUUAUUAUACUGCCCUCGCUGCUGCUUGAGGUUCUGCUGCUCCGAGGAGGAGUAUGUUGAGUUCCUCAAAACUCAGAGUCUUCCCCCGAACUGAAGCUUCCUGAUCUCUGUUUUCUGUUCUAUGUGGUGAUGAUGCUUGUAGAGAUGGUGCUUGCCAAUAAGAAAGCGAGCAUGCUUAAGAAGAGCAUGCAUGUAGGUCGUGGUUUUCCCGGUUCCUCUUGUUAAUUAGCAAUAAGUUCUCUGCACUUGUGCAAUGAAACUAAAUAUAUUCUGCUUAA